UACGUAGGGACCGAGCGUUGUCCGGAUUCAUUGGGCGUAAAGAGCUCGUAGGCGGCUGUUCAAGUCGAACGUGAAAACUCGGAGCUCAACUCCGAGCCUGCGUUCGAUACUGGACGGCUAGAGUCUGGUAGGGGGAUCUGGAAUUCCUGGUGUAGCGGUGGAAUGCGCAGAUAUCAGGAGGAACACCGGUGGUGUAAACGGCUCUCUGGACCGUAACUGACGCUGAGACACGAAAGCGUGGGUAGCAAACAGG
rnacentral:rRNA from 1 species